UACGAAGGGUGCAAGCGUUACUCGGAAUUACUGGGCGUAAAGCGUGCGUAGGUGGUUCGUUAAGUCUGAUGUGAAAGCCCUGGGCUCAACCUGGGAAUGGCAUUGGAUACUGGCGACCUAGAGUGCGGUAGAGGGUGGCGGAAUUCCCGGUGUAGCAGUGAAAUGCGUAGAUAUCGGGAGGAACAUCCGUGGCGAAGGCGGCCACCUGGACCAGCACUGACACUGAGGCACGAAAGCGUGGGGAGCAAACAGGAUUAGAAACCCCCGUAGUCC
rnacentral:rRNA from 1 species